rfam:Clostridium tetanomorphum DSM 665 contig2, whole genome shotgun sequence.
CUAAAUGCUAUGAUAAGAAAUAGUAACAUAAUCUAAACUAACAGAGAGAAUUCCUCAUUGGCUGAAAGGGAUUUUAAGUGUAAGUUAUGUGAAUGCAUCUUUGAGCACUGCUUCGAAAUAUAGUAGACGGCAGCAGGUACGCCUGUUAUAGCGUUAAGGUAAAAGGAGAUAUCGCUAUAUAUUUAUAUAAGUGAUAAUUAGAGUGGAACCGCGGAAGUUAACUUCUGUCUCUAAA